GACGAACUGUGCGAACGUUAUUCGGAAUCACUGGGCUUACAGGGUGCGUAGGCCGCUUGAUAAGUAGGGUGUGAAAUCCCCCGGCCCAACCGGGGAAUUGCGCUCUAAACUAUCAGGCUUGAGUAAGCUAGGGGUGCACGGAACUUCCAGUGGAGCGGUGAAAUGCGUUGAUAUUGGAAGGAACACCGGAGGCGAAAGCGGUGCACUGGGGCUUAACUGACGCUGAGGCACGAAAGCCAGGGGAGCGAACGGG
rnacentral:rRNA from 1 species